rnacentral:rRNA from 1 species
AUUGAACGCUGGCGGAAUGCUUUACACAUGCAAGUCGAACGGCAGCACGGACUUCGGUCUGGUGGCGAGUGGCGAACGGGUGAGUAAUGUAUCGGAACGUGCCCAGUCGUGGGGGAUAACGUAGUGAAAAUUACGCUAAUACCGCAUACGUUCUAUGGAUGAAAGCGGGGGAUCGCCAGACCUCGCGCGAUUGGAGCGGCCGAUAUCAGAUUAGGUAGUUGGUUGGGUAAAGGCCCACCAAGCAAACGAUCUGUAGCUGGUCUGAGAGGACGGCCAGCCACACUGGAACUGAGACACGGUCCAGACUCCUACGGGAGGCAGCAGUGGGGAAUUUUGGACAAUGGGCGAAAGCCUGAUCCAGCCAUUCCGCGUGUAGGAUGAAGGCCCUCGGGUUGUAAACUGCUUUUGUACAGAACGAAAAGGUUUCUACUAAUACUAGGAGCUCAUGACGGUACUGUAAGAAUAAGCACCGGCUAACUACGUGCCAGCCGCCGCCGUAA